AGUGAAGAAGGCCUUUGGGUUGUAAAGCUCUUUCGUCGGGGAAGAAAAUGACUGUACCCGAAUAAGAAGGUCCGGCUAACUUCGUGCCAGCAGCCGCGGUAAUACGAAGGGACCUAGCGUAGUUCGGAAUUACUGGGCUUAAAGAGUUCGUAGGUGGUUGAAAAAGUUGGUGGUGAAAUCCCAGAGCUUAACUCUGGAACUGCCAUCAAAACUUUUCAGCUAGAGUAUGAUAGAGGAAAGCAGAAUUUCUAGUGUAGAGGUGAAAUUCGUAGAUAUUAGAAAGAAUACCAAUUGCGAAGGCAGCUUUCUGGAUCAUUACUGACACUGAGGAACGAAAGCAUGGGUAGCGAAGAGGAUUAGAUACCCUCGUAGUCCAUGCCGUAAACGAUGUGUGUUAGACGUUGGAAAUUUAUUUUCAGUGUCGCAGGGAAACCGAUAAACACACCGCCUGGGGAGUACGACCGCAAGGUUAAAACUCAAAUGAAUUGACGGGGACCCGCACAAGUAGUGGAGCAUGUGGUUUAAUUCGAAGAUACGCGCAGAACCUUACCAACACUUGACAUGUUCGUCGCGACUCUAAGAGAUUAGAGUUUUCGGUUCGGCCGGACGAAACACAGGUGCUGCAUGGCUGUCGUCAGCUCGUGUCGUGAGAUGUUGGGUUAAGUCCCGCAACGAGCGCAACCCUCACUUUUAGUUGCCAUCAUUAAGUUGGGCACUCUGAAAGAACUGCCAGUGAUAAGCUGGAGGAAGGUGGGGAUGACGUCAAGUCCUCAUGGCCCUUACGUGUUGGGCUACACACGUGCUACAAUGGCAUCUACAACAGGAAGCAAAA
rnacentral:rRNA from 1 species